AAAGGAAUUGAAGCUUACCUGAUCUGAAGGUGGUCGUCCGCCUCCUACUCCGACGAUGCGGCCUUCUGCUCCAGCGGCGUGGGUCCAACACCAGGUCCUGCCAACCGUGAAGGGUUGUGAGAGAGAGACAGUGGAGAAAAAGGAAGAGGGUGAUGAAAGUCUCCACCGAUCGGGGCUUCUUGUAGCCUCUGAUUGCAGGGGAAGGCGGAUGGUUGUAACCGCCCGCCAUCAGGUAACCCAAACGCCUGCCCUUUGGUGUGCUGGCCUCCCCCGUUUCUACUAGAAACGGGAACGGUUAUCACAUUCUUCCCUCCAAAUAAAAAAAUUCCGUCCUCGAAAUUUACAUACCUAGUGCCCACGUGGGGGCCACAUGAGGGGGAACACGGGGCUCCCCUGCCAGAUAUUGUCCAGUUCUGGGGCUUCACGCAAGCGUCCUUCAGCCCUCUCCGAUUUUGUUUUCCAUCCAAAAUGCAUCUGCAGGAUUAGGAGACACCCGCCUCAUAUGCCCAGGCUCUGGAACGAGUCUUUCCGAUGUGGGACUAUUGGGCCUCACACCCUUCCCACCAUCGGACAAGAGCCGUCCUCGGCUCUGAUAGAACUCAAGUCCCGGUGGGACAUCAUGCAGGACACCAGGAUAAGAUAGUACUAUGUUCGUCAUACUGGCCCGAAUUAAGUGGUACGGAGCAUACCGUACCAUACCAGUUCGGUACCAGUACCUAACAUACACCGAAAAGAUUGUAUACCGUACCAUACCGAUAUAGUGCUAUUUUAGCACUGAUACAGAGUCCAGUACCAAGACGGCGAACCUUGCAAGAUACCAUCCUAAAUGUAAAGACAAUGCUAUCCCGUCAUUAUCCCAACAUCCCAAUCGGCACAUCUUGGUACAUCUUCUAUUCCAAGUGUCAGAAUAGGGCGGGAUGGUGGCACAUCCCAUUCU
rnacentral:lncRNA from 1 species